GAUCAUGGCUCAGGAUGAACGCUAGCUACAGGCUUAACACAUGCAAGUCGAGGGGAAACGACAUCGAAAGCUUGCUUUUGAUGGGCGUCGACCGGCGCACGGGUGAGUAACGCGUAUCCAACCUGCCCACCACUUGGGGAUAACCUUGCGAAAGUAAGACUAAUACCCGAUGAUAUCUCUAGACGACAUCUGAAAGGGAUUAAAGAUUUAUCGGUGAUGGAUGGGGAUGCGUCUGAUUAGCUUGUUGGCGGGGUAACGGCCCACCAAGGCAACGAUCAGUAGGGGUUCUGAGAGGAAGGUCCCCCACAUUGGAACUGAGACACGGUCCAAACUCCUACGGGAGGCAGCAGUGAGGAAUAUUGGUCAAUGGGCGAGAGCCUGAACCAGCCAAGUAGCGUGCAGGACGACGGCCCUAUGGGUUGUAAACUGCUUUUAUAAGGGAAUAAAGUGAGUCUCGUGAGACUUUUUGCAUGUACCUUAUGAAUAAGGACCGGCUAAUUCCGUG
rnacentral:rRNA from 1 species